GGUUGACCUCAGAUCAGGUAGGAAUACCCGCUGAACUUAAGCAUAUCAAUAAGCGGAGGAAAAGAAACCAACAGGGAUUGCCCUAGUAACGGCGAGUGAAGCGGCAACAGCUCAAAUUUGAAAUCUGGCCUCACGGUCCGAAUUGUAAUUUGUAGAGGAUGUUUCUGGCGACGUGUCUUCCGAGUUCCCUGGAACGGGACGCCAUAGAGGGUGAGAGCCCCGUCCGGUCGUACACCUAGCCUCUGUGAAACUCCUUCGACGAGUCGAGUAGUUUGGGAAUGCUGCUCUAAAUGGGAGGUAUACGUCUUCUAAAGCUAAAUACCGGCCAGAGACCGAUAGCGCACAAGUAGAGUGAUCGAAAGAUGAAAAGCACUUUGAAAAGAGGGUUAAAUAGUACGUGAAAUUGCUGAAAGGGAAGCGCUUAUGACCAGACUUGGGCUCGGUGAAUCAUCCGGCGUUCUCGCCGGUGCACUUUGCCGUCCCAGGCCAGCAUCAGUUCGCGCCGGGGGAUAAAGGUUUCGGGAAUGUAGCUCCCUCGGGAGUGUUAUAGCCCGUUGCGUAAUACCCUGGCGUGGACUGAGGUCCGCGCUCUGCAAGGAUGCUGGCGUAAUGGUCAUCAGUGACCCGUCUUGAAACACGGACCAAGGAGUCGUCUUCGUAUGCGAGUGUUCGGGUGUCAAACCCCUACGCGUAAUGAAAGUGAACGUAGGAGAGAGCUUCGGCGCAUCUCCGACCGAUCCUGAUGUUCUCGGAUGGAUUUGAGUAAGAGCAUACGGGGCCGGACCCGAAAGAAGGUGAACUAUGCCUGUAUAGGGUGAAGCCAGAGGAAACUCUGGUGGAGGCUCGCAGCGGUUCUGACGUGCAAAUCGAUCGUCAAAUAUG
rnacentral:rRNA from 1 species